AGGAAUUAUCCUAAUUUCUUAGUGGGUACUAGAAUCCACUAAGACUGCACACAAGCUCAACUUUGGUUGGCCAACCCAUGUACAUCUAAGGGUAGGUUCAUAACCAAUUGUUUCUCUAAACAAUUUCUAGUAAUUUUAAUUUUGCCCCAGAAACCUAAUCAGUAGGCUUUGGCCUCCACUGUAAGGAUCCAGUUAGGUCCAACCAUUAACAUGAUCAUACUUGGUGUACCUAACCAACGAAUGAUUAAGCCCAACUUGGGUUGGCUCACAUAACCACCAUUAGAGAGACACUUCCAAGUCAUCAUAUGAUGAGUGAUAAUUCCAUUAGUCAACAAGCACCAGGCCUUUGGGUCUGCAAUGAUUAUUGAGUUAAUGGACUCAUUAUCAAACACCUUAAUGCGAGGCUAUGACUCAGUUAUCUCCAUAACUUUAUCAUUUUAAGGA
rnacentral:lncRNA from 1 species